GGUCUUGUAGUGUAGCGGUUAUCACUUGGGAUUCUGAAGACCUGUUCCCAAAACCCAGGUUCGAGUCCUGGCAAGACCU